GAAAACUCGGCUCUGUGCAAAUGAAACGAUGAACGUUGUGCAGAGC
rfam:Anaerofustis stercorihominis DSM 17244 Scfld_02_3 genomic scaffold, whole genome shotgun sequence.